CUCGUAGGCGGUUCGUCGCGUCCGGUGUGAAAGUCCAUCGCUUAACGGUGGAUCUGCGCCGGGUACGGGCGGGCUGGAGUGCGGUAGGGGAGACUGGAAUUCCCGGUGUAACGGUGGAAUGUGUAGAUAUCGGGAAGAACACCAAUGGCGAAGGCAGGUCUCUGGGCCGUUACUGACGCUGAGGAGCGAAAGCGUGGGGAGCGAAACA
rnacentral:rRNA from 1 species